rnacentral:lncRNA from 1 species
ACAUAUUCAACGGCUGGGAACUAACCACUCAUAUCUAUAUAACGGUCCGAAAAUAAUUCCCAAACACUAAAAUCCAAUUCACUUCUUCAUCUCUUAACCCCAAGAGACCAAAACCCUAGUCUCCCUCUCACCCCUCGCGGACUCCGCCUCUUUCCGCCGCCCGAAAUUCGCCUUACGGCGACCGAGUACCUCCAAACCGCCUCAAAUUCACACCUCGUAAUCCCUAGCUCCCUUGCUUCACUAAUCCACCAACAUUUUUACCAAAAACCCCACUAAAUUCCACCAAUUUCAAAUCUAAAAACUAUACCCAAAAAUCCUAAGUCGUCCAAACAACCUCAAAAUAACACCAGAUGACCCUCAACCAUCCCUCACCACUCUCUACUCUUGAUUUCCCAAAAAUCCCCGCCCAAUUCUUCGAGUCCCAAAUCUGUAAAAAACCAGAAACCCUAGUUCUAUUUUUUCCCUUUUUCACAUUUCUUCGGAUUGUUUCCAGACUCGGCUUAGUUGAAAAACCAUGCUAAUAAAUCGUUCUCAAUAAUAACGGUUGGUUAGAAUAUUCUUUAGCUAUAUCAAAGAAGUUCCGACUUGCCAGAUCCCUCCUGGUAUUCUUUUCUAACCUUUUUCUUGUUUCUUUAUUCUUGUUUCCCUAAUUUUUGCAUUUGUAUAACCAUAAGUUAAUUUAGUUCGUUUCUGUAUAAGUAAUUUAGUUUACUAUGAGGCUAGAAUUAAAGCUGUUCCAAGUAUGUUAACUGUUAGACAAAAGUCAGUUUAGUUUUUUAAUUUGUUUGACUUAAUCAUUCAUAGAUUAAUUAGGUUAAUUUUUGGGAUUUUAUUACAUCUGCAUUUUAGUUCUUCGUUUGAUUUACUGUUUUGCUAUGAUUGCUUGUUUGAAUAUAAUUUUGUCUGGGGUUUUGAUUAGAUUAAUCCUUUAAUUCACUAAUAGACUAGGCUAUUUAAUUUAAGGUCCAGUUAAUUUGAAGUGUAACUAAUAAUUAAAGCUUCUAAGAAUACAAUUGAAAAUAAUAUUAGGAAGUUUCAAUACUGGAAUGCUCCAGAUUAUUUUAGGAGGUUUCACAAAUAUUUAGGGCACAACUUGUUAGAAUUGAAAUAAUUAGUACUUGAAAGAGUAAAAUUGGAUUUUUACAAAGAGUAAAAUAUCAGAAUGUUCUAGCAUUUGUAUAGUCGUCUUUAUUUUCAGCAUAAAAAAUGCUAGAAUUAGACUGAAAAACAACAGACAACUAUCUAAAUAUGUUGUACUAUCUGACACUUAAGGAAUUUAGGAUAGAAUAUGUCAUUUUGAUGCUAUUUUAGCAUACCCUAUGAAAGAAAAGAUUACUCCCUCAUUUUGCAUGGAAUUGGUAGCCCAUUUAUCACCUAAAAGUUCUUUGAACAUACAGAAAAGAGACAAGAAAAUCUUCUUGUAAUUUUCUUACUCUAAAAAUUAGUUUUGGAGAGAGUUUAUAUGCUGGUUCUCUCUAGUGUUACUUGAUUCUGAUUCUGGGAAAGAUAAAAUCAGUUGUUCCUUGGUUUUAGUUUAAUUUUGAUUGUGAUGUUUGAUUCUGCUGGUUGUCCCCUUCAAAUUAGAGGUUCAUUUAUCUUGCUUUGAUUCUUGCUAGUAUAGGUAUAUAGCUUUCUCCAUCUGAGAUCAUUCAUAAAUGAAAUAUAAGGCUUGUUCUUGUUAGCCUCGUUUUUUUGGUUGCACAUAGUAUGUUAGCCUUGAGCUUGCUAGAUAUUCUCAUUUGUUGUGUAAUAUAUGGUGCUAUAAAAACUGUUAAACUGAGUUCUAGAGUAUAUUAUAAUAAUAUUUAAGUUGAUUAUUGUGAUUAAUAGUCGCAUUGUUAGUAUUAUGUCAAUAGCCCGUGCCAUAAAUACAGUUUGUUGGUCCAGAAUUGUUCGAAUGGUGGCUAUACGGAAUGGGCCAGACUUGUAAAAUUGGCCUAACUGGGGAGAUGACCUCAAACGAGUUUGAGCAUAGGCCAUUGGGUCUAAGCAUUAAGUCCAGUAGCAUGAUCCCAGGUAUGGGUUUGCCUUUUCUAAAUUGCAAUUCAUUUUUUAUGUAUUGGGAAUCAUAUAUAGUCAAUGUUAAAACUCGAAUUGUAUUCUAAACUUCUUUUUACCUCAGAAUGAAUAGAAUUCUAGCCUUGGAAAAAUGUGUGUUACGGGUGAAUUUUAUUGGUAUUGAAGAAAAAAUAGGCCAAUCAUUUAAGAGUGAUGACUGGUCCAACUUUCACCAUUUGGCCCAAUUGGACUGUUUCAUCUUAUAUCUUGGGCUUGUAACCAUUAAGCCAUACUUUUCCCUAAAAUUAGUUUGAAUUGUAUUAUUAAACACUUUGGAUGCUUACAACCAUCAUGAUUAGAUUAGAAAAAUCUAACUAUUCUUAGCAUAUUUUAGGCGCUAUCAAUUAACUACCGUGACAUAGGUACGGUUCCUGUGGAUGUAACGAUCCGAUCGACCGUUUUGAAAAAUUAAGCUCCGUUCAGUAGCGUAAGGUCUGGAAUAGCUUCAAAAUAUGAAUAUCAACUUGGGUGCAUGUUGAAAUUUAGUUAACAGAUGGUUUAGAGUCAAAUUUGGAGAAGGAAUCUAGUUUUGGAAGUUUGAACAGUGAAAUUUGACCAGAAUUGGAUUUUGAGCAAAUGAUAUUAGAAAGAAAUUUUGAGGAUCCCAACAGCUUCAUGUGGUUAUUUUUUACUUUAGUGCACAUCCGAAUUCGGUUGAAGGUCCAUAGAGUAAAUUGAGGCAUUUUGGCGAAGGUUGAAAAAGGCGACGUUUGAAAAAUGGAGAAGUUUGACCCAUAGUUAACUUUUAAGAUAUCGGGGGUGGAAUGUGAUUUUGAGGGUUGGUGCAGCUCUGAUGUGUCAUUCUGGACUUGUCUGCAAAAUUUAGCAUCAUUUCGGAUUGAUUUGAUAGGUUUCGGCACGAGUUUAGAAAUUUGAGGAUUUGAAGGUUUAUAAGUUCGAUUUAUGGUUGAUUUAUUGUUCGAUGUUGUUUUAUGUGAUUUGAAAUCUUGAGCGUGUCCGUGUUAGGUUAUAUGACUUGCUUGUGUGAUUUGACGGGGUCCCGGGGCCCUCGGGUGUGCUUCGUAUGCGCUACAGAUCAUUUUUCUCCUAUUUUGAAUUGUUGGUUUUGCUUUUGGUAUGCCUCUUACUUGAUCGCGAACCUCGUGUCACAUUCGCAAUGUGUUGUUGUUGGUCGCCUCUUUUCCCUUCACUAUAUUCCCAUAAAAUCUCCCGUGAUUGCGAAGCUCUGUUUUCCUCUACUUCGCGAUCGCAUCUAUAUCCCCGCGUUUGCAUAAUAGAAAUAAGGAGUUGGGGGCGGUUGGAUAUUUUUCUCUUCGCGUUCGCAUGAACCACCUUGCGAUCUCGUACGACCUAUCUAUUGUUCAUAGUGUUUACGUCCCUUUUCACGCGAUCGCAAAGGGUAUUUCUUGAAAGCAUCAAAUGUCUUCUACGCGAUCGCGCCUCUUCUCCUGCCAUCGCGAUGCACAAAAACCUGGGCAGACAGAGUAUAUCCCAAAGUCAAGGGUUUCACCAUAUUUUGACUUCUAGAGCUCAAUUUUUGGUGAUAUUUGGAGGAAUUUUUACCUGGGCGACUUGGGUAAAUGAUUCUUACUCGGUUUAGACUAAUUUCUAUGAAUCUUCUCUUGAAUUCAUCCUUUAAUAUUGGAAUUUUUGUAGAAAUUGGGGGAAACGUUCUUAGACCUAGAGAUUGGGUUUUGGGUAUUUGAUAUCAGAUUGGGAUAAUUUUGAUAUGAUUAGACUCGUGAGAGUGUAAGAAUUUUGAAAAUAUAUAUUUGAUUCUGAUGCAUGGGCUCGAGGGGCAUUUUGGUCAUUUUUCAUAAUUCCGCGCAUUAGCUUAGAAUUUAAUUAUAAAAUCAGUUAUUUGAAGUGUUAUUUACAUCAUAAAAUUGAAUUGAAUAAAUUUGGGCCAUUUGGAGUCGAGUACCCGUGGCAAGAACGUGGUUUCUAGUUGAUUUUGAUCCUGUUCGAGGUAAAUGUCUUGCCUAACCUUGUGUAGGGGACUUCCCCUUACGAUUUGAGUGUUCUUUGUUGAUUGCAAUCCGUGUACGCGAGGUGACGAGUUCGUUCUUGGACUUAUUUGUGGAAGAAUUGGCAUUUUGAGGGUUCUUAGGUCCUUAUAUUCACCGAGUAUGAAGUUGUUCUUGAUAUGAUUGAUUUCCCUAUUACUAGUUUCACCCCUACAUGUUUUACUUGGAAUUAAUUGCUUAUGGUUAAUUCUUAUUGCCUAAUUGACUCUUAAUUUGCUUAAUUGAAGAUCUUUACCCCUUCUAUUGUCAUGAUUAUCUUUCAUAACUUUUUGUCUUUAUUGAAAAUUAUUAUUAUCUCUCAUGAAAUUAUUUGGCCUUAAUUGAGGUUACGAUUAUCUUCCUGUUGCUCGCCAUUAAUUGAAAUUAUUGUAUAUCCUUCAUAACUUGCCCAACUUUAAAACAAGAUUAGAUAUCUUAUGUUUAGUUGACAUUCCUUAUUUGAAAUUAUUUGAUUCGUGUUAACUUCCUUAUUGUUGAACUACAUAUUAUGGAAUCGUUGCUUCACAUUAUUUUCUCCUUCGUUGAGUUGAUUCACUUGUCGUGCUCUUGUAUAUAUUUCCAUUGUUAUUGUUGUUGUACUGGCAGGGAGGUAUCACUUUUGCUUCAUGGAUGGGUACCGGGGUAUAAUCAGAUUUCCGUUGCCCCAUAGGACAGAGAGAAAAUGAUGUUCACUUGCCCUAUGGAAUGUAUGUUUUUCGGAAAAUACACUUUGGCCUAUGCAACGCACCCGCCACAGUCCAGAGGUGCAUGAUGGACAUCUUCAUAGAUAUGGUAGAGAAGAUAAUGGAGGUUUCCAUGGAUGACUUCUCAGUGGUGGGGAAUUCAUUCGAUGAUUUCCUUGUGAAUUUAAUGCGAAACGGUGUAUCGAGACUAAUCUGGUACUCAAUUGGGAAAGUGCCAUUUCAUGGUACAUGAAGUAAUAGACUUGGGGCACCUAGUGCCAAGUAAAUUUAUUGAGGUGGAUCGUGCAAACGUUUAUGUGAUAGAAAAGCUUCAAUCACCCACCUCCGUCAAAACAAUCAAAAAUUUUCUUGGGCACGCUGGUUCCUAUAGGAGAUUUAUAAAAGAUUUUUCCAAAAUUGCUAACCCUUUAUGUAAAUUGAUUGAAAAAUAUCACCAUUUUGUGUUUUAUGAUGACUGCAGGGUAGAUUUUGAGGAAUUAAAGACAACACCUAUCAUAGUUGCCCCUAAUUAGGAGCAACUGUUUGAGUUGAUGUGUGAUGCUAGUGACUAUGUGUAGGAGAAAUUCUUGGGAAGCAAAAAGAUAAAAUCAUGCAUCCAAUAUACUAUGCAAGUAGAACGUUGAGUGGAGCCCAGCUAAAUUAUACUGUGACCGAGAAAGAGAUGCUGGCAGUGGUGUUUUCAUAUGACAAGUUCAGGUCUUACUUGAUAGGCUCAAAGGUAAUUGUUUGUAGUGACCAUGUUGCUCUCAGGUACUUAAUUUAAAAGAAGGAUUCAAAACCGCGCCUAAAUCUAUGGGUGCUACUGCUGCAAGAAUUUGAUUUAGAGAUCUGUGACUAAAAGAGAACAGAGAACCAAGUAGUUGACCAUUUAUCCACGUUGGAAGGAGCUGAAAAGAAGGUUGAGGUAGAAGAGAAUCUGGAAAUUUUCUAGAUGAAAUAUUACUAGACAUGAGUCUUGAGAAAGCGCCAUAGUAUGCAGACAUUACAACUACCUGGAGAACGGUAUUGUUCCUGAUGACUUUUCCACUGUUUAAAAGGAAAAUUUCUUUCUUGAUUGUUGCAUGUAUUAUUAGGAUGAGCCUUAUCUAUUCAGGAUUUGUGUUGAUAAUAUGAUCCGGAGAUGUAUCCCCCAGAUAGACCUAUCUUCUAUUUUGCAGGCUUGUCAUGCGUCACUAUAUGAUAAGCACUUCGGGGGAGUGAGGACAGCUGCGAAAGUCUUGGAGUCGGGAUUCUAUUAGCCAACACUGUUCAACGAUGCACAUCUAUAGAUAAAUGGGUGUGAUUAAUGCCAGCAAACUGGGAACAUUUCCCGCAGACAUGAGAUGCCAUUUAACCCAAUUCAGGAGGUAGAAGUGUUUGAUGUAUAGGGGAUCGACUUCAUGGGGCUGUCCAUCAGCUUAUAUGGCAACAAGUACAUACUCGUCAAUGUGGACUACGUGUCCAAAUAGGUAAAAGAUACAUCACUUCCUGCAAAUGAUGUAUUGGGGGUAAUUGGUUCUUUUAGAAAGAACAUUUUCACCCGAUUUGGCAUCCUAAGGGCAAUAAUAAUUGGUAGAAGCACUCACUUUUGCAAUUGAUCCUUAACAAAUUUGUUGGAAAGGUAUGAUGUAUGCCACAAGGUGGUCACCCCAUAUCAUCCACAAACAAGCGGGAAAGUGGAAGCCUCGAAUAGAGAAAUAAAGAGUGUGUUGAUUAAAACUGUGAAUGCAAUUAGAACAGAUUGGGAAAGGAAGUCAGAUGAUGCACUUUGGGUAUAUCAAACCGUUUUCAAAACUCCAAUUGGCAUGUCACCAUACAAGUUGGUGUCUGGGAAGUCAUGUCAUUGACCAGUAAAGUUGGAGCAUAGAGCUUGGUGGGCAUUAAGAUAGUUGAAUCUUGAUAGUGAAGCUGUGGAAACAAGUAGAGUAACGGAGUUGCACGAGCUCGAUGAGUUUAGAUAUCACGCUUUUGAGAGCACCAGAUUAUACAAGGAAAGAAUGAAAAUGAUACAUGAUAGAAGUAUUAUUGAGCAGAAUAUUAAACUCGGAGACACGGUAUUACUACACAACUCAUGUCUAAGGUUGUUUCUGGGAAAAUUGAAGUCACGAUGGUCAGAGCAUUUCUGUGUGGUUGAAAUACACCCCACAAGUGGUGUAGAGAUAGCUGUGAGUAAUGAAUCCCGCAUAUUUAAAGUCAAUGGGCAUAGGUUGAAACAUUAUGUGGGAUUGGGGGAAGAAAAGAAAGUGUCUGUGACCCAUUUGAUCGAGCCCUCACAUUUGAGCGUACUUUAAAUACACUUAUCUACGUCAUGCCAAGACGGUCAAUCAGGCGCUUCAUAGGAGACAACCAAUUGAUUUGUCGUAUUUAUUGGGGUUAUGUAACUAUCCCGAAGGUAGACAUAAACAUAAAAAAAGCCUUCAAUGCCUAAUCCGUGGCCACAGAUCUGACUACAGAUCUGGCACGGAUCUUAUAAAUGCUCGAUUAGCGGCGCGGAUCAGACCGCAGACCUAGCGAUUUCAGGUAUUAAUUUUUUAUUUUAUUUUCUUCCCCCCUCAGCCUCUUUUUAAUUAGUUUUCUUUUAUUUAAUUACCCUUCCCCCCGUCCGCAUUUCCCCAUUCUCUUCUAUUCCUAUCACUUCACAUAAACAACACAAAAUAAACAACAACAAAACCUUCUCCCUUCCCCAAAUUUCUGACGCAAUCCCUUCCCCCUUCUUCACCAAAUCCUCUUAUCUUCUCCCCACUCUCUGCUAACCCACUCUUACAUCUCCGCUCAUCACAAGGUUCUCAAGUAAGUACAUGAUUCUACUUUCUUCUUUUAGUUUCUUUUGUUUUGUUCUUUUCGAUUUUUUUUCUUUGCUUUUCAUUCUUUUUAUCUUCUAUUUUAUGUGUAAGAAAGUAAAAAUCUAGGCACUCUUAUUUAUGUGUAUUUGUUGGUAUAAUUGUUGAUAUGUGAAGACAUUAGGUUGUUUAGGUUGGAAAACAAUGUUGUUGAGCUGUGAGGAAUGAGGGUUUAAUUGGGUCCUUUGGUACAUUGAGGGGCAUAUGCACAUGAGGUAUUUGUUGAAUUACCUCAAGGAACUUUAUAGUAUAAUUGUGACCUAGGGGGCGCGUUAAGUAGGAGUAACUGCUCUUGGGUCACCUAUUCCCCUGAUCUUUGAAAAUAGUGGUUGUUGUGAAGGUACAAUAAGAUCUUCAAAUAAUAGAUGCACUACUAGUGGUUUGUCACGAACACGGGCAUCAGCCAGUUCAGGGCAGUUUUAUAGCACCCAAUUUGUCUCCAGAGCUGCCCAUGACCAUUUUGUUGAAAAGGGUAUUAGAAAGUCGGUACCAUAAGGGAAAGUUGAAAGGGGUUCCCUCCAAGAUGCGUGCCCUAAUAUGUUUAGAGAUCUGACUAGCGCAGGCUCAACACCUUCUUCGAGGAGCCGAAGGACGGUUAGUUGUUGCUUGUUAGAGAAUUCUAUCUCGAUUGUUCUUAACAUGAGGAUCGCAUCUACAUUGUGCGACAAAAAUGGGUGAAUGCCUCAAUUAAAGUUAUUAGGAGAGUGUGUCGCUUGCCUGCAUUUAAUUGGGAGAUGGAUUAUUAUGACACAUACAAGUGAAAACCCAUAAAUUGGCAAUUGUUUUCCCAAACUAUCUGUAAACAAGACAAUGAGGUAUUGUGGGUUACUCCGGGAUCGAAGUUGCACUCUUCCUCACUCACCUUUGAAGGUAACUAUUGGUUGUACAUCAUCAACAGUCGACUGCUGCCAUACCGCAACACCACUGAAGUCAAUAGACUGCGAGCUGCUUUGAUCUGGUGCUUCAAGAAUGGCCACGAUUUUGAUGUGGCUAAAGUUGGUCACUCGGAGAUGUUCAUCCGUUCACCACUGAGGAGGUAUGGGUUCUUCUUCCCAUCUCUGGUCACUCAAUUUUUUCGGGUUGUAGGGGUAUCAUAGAACCCCCAUGUAGAUGUCAAGGUGAAGAAAAAAACAAUGUUCUGGGCUUCCAAGGUGGCCAUUGGGAAAGAGACGAUGGCAGCCAGUUCAACUAAUAGUUAUGAUUCUGAGGCAUCUGAGGAGGGAGAUGCUGAGCAGGAUGAAGUAGGGGCUGAGUCGCCCUCCCAUGAGCAUGUUGUGGAAGCCUAAAUGUCGUCGGAGGUUGGUAGGGUUACACAGCUGGCUUCCUUAGAGCAGGAAAUUGCGGGGAUGCAUACUACCGUCACAGACUUGGGGACUAGAGUUAAUGCCUUGGCCAACCAAAAUGCUAAAUCAGAGAAGAAAAUCUUGGGCUGGUUGUGUGCGCUGGGGAGGGCGUGUCACUUAGACCCGGCAUAGUCUCUGAUCAAAACUGAUCUUCCAGGGAAGUUGCUUUACCUCACAUUACUUUCUAUUUUUAUGACAUGGGGGCAUAGCAUCUUUUCAAGUGUGGGGUGGGGGUUACUCCGUUGGUAUGUUGUGUAUAUAAAGGAAUGUAGCUUGAUUCUAGUUGAAAUUUGGUUAAUUUGAUUGUAGUUUUUGGCUAGUUUGAUUUUGGUUUUUGGUUAGUAGUCUAAAUGUGUGAAUGUUUGAAAACUUCAUGUUUUCAAAUGGUCCCAACAACGGAUAUCACUCGACGGGUUUCUUGAGGGUCUAAGUUGAUAUAACAAAUAGAAAAAAUAAAAAUUUCCUUUUGUAGGUAGUGUAUCAAUUACCCCUUUGUUUUUCUUUUGACCACUAUUCUUUUCCAAGAGUUUUUGUUUGAAUUGGGUUUUUUAGUUGUUUUUAUAUUUUAAUAAGGUACGUGUGGGCUAAGGGCUUAUAUGGAAAGAGGAUCCCUUGUCAUCAUUAUUCCUUGAAUACAGUAGAUACUUUAGUGUGACGUUAAGGCUCAGUUGUUGAUUUUUAUUAGAAUGACUUAAAUUGUAUGUUCUUAAUUUGGAUGAAGUACUCUGACUAUAGCAUUUCGAUGAUCCAAUCCGGAGAGAGUCGUUCCAUAUGUGUGUGAGGAUUGAUGUAUUCUGUGCACUACAUUGGAUGCCUAAAACUUUCCACGUGUGUGUGCAAAGCGAAAUAGUAGCUUAUUCAGUCUUGGAAAUGAUAGAGACGUUUCUUUGUUAAGCCACAUAUAUAUAUAUAUAUAUAUAUAUUACCUGUCUAAUUGUUACGUAUCAUAGCUAACCCCCUUUGAGCACGUAAUUCACUUUCUUUGGCAACCAUAUUACAAGCUUUACCCAUUUGUUUGAAUUAAUCAUCUAUUUGAACCCUUUACCUCUCAUGAGCACUUGAAUUGUUAUGAACUUUGUAAAUGUUAAAGUGUGAGGUGGUUGGUUUUGCUUUUGAGUGGUAUUAAUGAAAAAAGAAGAAAGAUGCACUGUUUUGACAAGUAAGAGCCACUUGAAGUGAAAGGGAAUGAAAAUAAUAGUGUAUUGUUGUGAAAUAUAUAUAUAUAUAUAUGGCUCUUGAUGUAAUCGUAUUUAAAGAAGAACGAAGUUAAUAUAUAAAGAUGUAAAGGUGGAGUCAUGGUUUUGACAUAGGUGUGGGGUUUUAAAUAUUAUAGAGUAUAUAUUAAAGUGCUUAGGGAGCUAUAGUCACUCUUAUACCUAAAUAUAUCAUACCUCUCCCGCAGCCUACAUUACAAACAAGUAAAUUCCUAAUUUAUCCUAGACUGAAUGAGCUCAAUUAGUGGAAUAGUACAGUGGGGGCAAGCCUAUAGUUCUUUUUUGUGGCAUAUGAAUGUUCUUUUUUAGAGUGAGUGAAUUGUUUCUAUCUUAAGUUUCUACUUGUUCUUAAACAUUACUAAUUGUGGAACCACUUGCAUUUGUUAUUAAAGGGCACUUGAUUCAUGAAGGAAAGGUGAGUCUUAGCCUCUGCGUUAGAAUAAUUGAGGAAGGUUAGGAAUAUUGCGUGGCAUGAGAGAGUUAGCUCUUGAGGCGAAGAUGUUACACUACUGGGCUCAAUUCUUGUGAAAUGUUCUUGGUGUGACUUGUAAGGGAGUCGCUCAAAGAAUAUAGGUCGUUAUAGAGUAUGGUUUGAUUGCUCGAGGAUGAGCAAAUGUAUAAAUAUGGGUUGUUGACAAUAGAUGAUAAUCAUGCAAAUUAGCUUAUAUUUGCACUCUAAUUUAGUCAUAAUUUAUCUAUGUUUGAUUGUAAAAGAUAACAUAAUGCUUUAAUUACAAGUUUAUUGCUUUGCAUGAGCCAUUCUAAUCUAGGAGGAAGCUAAAAGAGUAUUUUGGAUUCAAUAUAGAGCAUGGUAGGCCAAUCGGAGGAUAAAACGAACGAAAAGGAGAAGAAAGAGCAAGGACUAAAUCCGCGCCCAUGUCCGCGGUCCAUCCGCGACCGCGAAUGGGAUGCUUGGAGCCAAAUAUUGCAAGGUCAAUUGUGUAAUUUUCAGGACGAAUCUCCUUGACCUAUAAGAAUCCCCGCUCACCCAAGUAGAAGAUAUCGAGGUUUUUGAAGAGAUUUUGAAGGCAAGAACAGACAAGAAGCAAGGUGGAAGAUUCGGCAUAGAGUUUUUACCUUUCUUCCUCUUAUUUUUAUCAUUGAAGAUGAAUCAUAUCGUUAUGAUUGUGAAAAUGAUUAUUCGUAGUUAAACUUCUAAUCUAAUUGAUGGGACCUCUUGUAGGAUGAAUUUCACAUUAUGUUAAUAUAGAUUUGCUGUAAUAUUUUCUCUAUUUGUUCAACUAUAUUGUGAUUGUUGUUGAUUGAAGGGCCC